rnacentral:rRNA from 1 species
GAUGAACGCUGGCGGCGUGCCUAAUACAUGCAAGUCGAGCGAACAGACGAGGAGCUUGCUCCUCUGACGUUAGCGGCGGACGGGUGAGUAACACGUGGAUAACCUACCUAUAAGACUGGGAUAACUUCGGGAAACCGGAGCUAAUACCGGAUAAUAUAUUGAACCGCAUGGUUCAAUAGUGAAAGACGGUUUUGCUGUCACUUAUAGAUGGAUCCGCGCCGCAUUAGCUAGUUGGUAAGGUAACGGCUUACCAAGGCAACGAUGCGUAGCCGACCUGAGAGGGUGAUCGGCCACACUGGAACUGAGACACGGUCCAGACUCCUACGGGAGGCAGCAGUAGGGAAUCUUCCGCAAUGGGCGAAAGCCUGAUGGAGCAACGCCGCGUGAGUGAUGAAGGUCUUCGGAUCGUAAAACUCUGUUAUUAGGGAAGAACAAAUGUGUAAGUAACUAUGCACGUCUUGACGGUACCUAAGCAGAAAGCCACGGCUAACUACGU